rnacentral:rRNA from 1 species
CCUACGGGGGAGUGGGGCGAAAACUUUACAAUGCGGGAAACCGUGAUAAGGGGACCCCGAGUGUCAGCAUCAUAUGCUGGCUGUCCAGGUGUGUAAAAUACACCUGUUAGCAAGGGCCGGGCAAGACCGGUGCCAGCCGCCGCGGUAACACCGGCGGCCCGAGUGGUGAUCGUGAUUAUUGGGUCCUAAGGGUCCGUAACCCGUUUGGGCAAGCCUCCGGGAAAUUCUGAAGCUCAACUAUUAGGCUAUCGGGGAAUCUGCCAGGCUUGGAACCGGGAGAAGGAAGAGGUAUUACAGGGGGUAGGAGUGAAAUCUUGUAUCCCCUUGGGACCCCCUGUGGCG